GCGGCGGACGGGUGAGUAACACGUAGGCAACCUGCCUGCAAGACUGGGAUAACUACCGGAAACGGUAGCUAAUACCGGAUACGCAAGAGAGUCGCAUGAUUUUCUUGGGAAAGACGGAGCAAUCUGUCACUUGCGGAUGGGCCUGCGGCGCAUUAGCUAGUUGGUGAGGUAACGGCUCACCAAGGCGACGAUGCGUAGCCGACCUGAGAGGGUGAACGGCCACACUGGGACUGAGACACGGCCCAGACUCCUACGGGAGGCAGCAGUAGGGAAUCUUCCGCAAUGGACGAAAGUCUGACGGAGCAACGCCGCGUGAGUGAUGAAGGUUUUCGGAUCGUAAAGCUCUGUUGCCAGGGAAGAACGUCGGGUAGAGUAACUGCUAUCCGAGUGACGGUACCUGAGAAGAAAGCCCCGGCUAACUACGUGCCAGCAGCCGCGGUAAUACGUAGGGGGCAAGCGUUGUCCGGAAUUAUUGGGCGUAAAGCGCGCGCAGGCGGCCAUUUAAGUCU
rnacentral:rRNA from 1 species